GUUAUGUCAGUAUGGGAAAGUACAUUGUUACAAGUAUAUAGGCCGUCAUUGUAAAUACGAAUUCGUUCUAUUAAUUGCAAAAUAUAGACAGUGUAGUUCUCAGUUAUGCUAAAACACCCCUUCGACUCAUUGCAGUUGGUCUAGUCCAGGCGGCAGCGUCUGGCUCAGCGGAGGAGCAUCUUGAAAGUUUUUCAACAUCACGCCAAUGUUGUUACUUUUUCACUGUCCUCCAGAACUCUCAAACUACGUUCCGUUAUUUUAGGGAUCAUUGGUCUAAUUUCUAUGUCUGGAUAACCUCAACAACAUCAUUUUGUUUAAGAUAUUCAGGUGUUUGCUGGUUUCAUCUGUCGGUUUCUAGUCUCUGCACCAUGACAUGGAUGCCUUGCUCAUCUGAGAUUGGAAUGCUGGAUGGUUAUGAGACAGCAGAAAAUGAACGACACAUUCCCCCUAACCAGAAAGAAGAAGUGAAGGAGUGGGGAGAUCGUUGGAGAGAAAAGAGAGAGACUGAAGAGGGUCUAAACUGAAGGAGUGGGGAGA
rnacentral:lncRNA from 13 species